ACAUGAAACACCCGGGGAUUUUGUUAAAAUGCAGAUUCUGCUUCAGUAGGUCUUGGAAGGGAGCACAAUAUUCUGCAGUUCUAACAAGCUCUCAGGUGGUGUCAAU
rnacentral:pre_miRNA from 1 species